UACGAAGGGGGCUAGCGUUGUUCGGAAUUACUGGGCGUAAAGCGCGCGCAGGCGGCUAUCCAAGUCAGUGGUGAAAGCCCGGAGCUCAACUCCGGAACUGCCAGUGAAACUGUUUAGCUUGAGGAUGAGAGAGGUGAGUGGAAUUCCCAGUGUAGAGGUGAAAUUCGUAGAUAUUGGGAAGAACACCAGUGGCGAAGGCGGCUCACUGGCCCGGUACUGACGCUGAGGCGCGAAAGCGUGGGGAGCAAACAGG
rnacentral:rRNA from 1 species